GAUGAAGAACGUAGCGAAAUGCGAUAAGUAAUGUGAAUUGCAGAAUUCAGUGAAUCAUCGAAUCUUUGAACGCACAUUGCGCCCCCCAGCACUCUGGCGGGCAUGCCUGUCCGAGCGUCAUUUCAACCCUCGCACCGUCCCUCCAGGGGGCUCGGCGCGGUGUUGGGGGACACGGCCCCGGCCGCCCCCGAAAUGCAGUGGCGACCCCGCCGCGGCCCCUCCAGCGCAGUAAGCACGCUCGCUACGGGAGGCCCGGUGGACGCGUCCGCCGUAAAACGCCCAACUCUUCAGAAGUUGACCUCGGAUCAGGUAGGGAUACCCGCUGAACUUAAGCAUAUCAAUAAGCGGAGGA
rnacentral:misc_RNA from 1 species